CAGCAGCCGCGGUAAUACGAAGGGGGCUAGCGUUGUUCGGAAUUACUGGGCGUAAAGCGCACGUAGGCGGAUAUUUAAGUCAGGGGUGAAAUCCCAGAGCUCAACUCUGGAACUGCCUUUGAUACUGGGUAUCUUGAGUAUGGAAGAGGUGAGUGGAAUUCCGAGUGUAGAGGUGAAAUUCGUAGAUAUGCGGAGGAACGCCAGUGGCGAAGGCGGCUCACUGGUCCAUUACUGACGCUCAUGCACGAAAGCGUGGGGAGCAAACAGGAUUAGAUACCCCCGUAGUCCCUGUCUCUUAUAU
rnacentral:rRNA from 1 species